CAGCGGAGCCGCCAGCCGCGGGCCGCCUCGUUGGUGGCGGUGCCAGAGCUCGCCCACCCAGGCGGUGGAACACGGGCCAGGACGGGGAGCGACUCCCCACAGUGCUCUCCUGGCCCUUCGGCCUUUGUGCGACGCAGGCGCGACAGUGUUCCGGCGCCCUCCCGGGGUCCCCUGCCGACGCCGGGACCCAGCGAGGUCCCCACUCGCCGCGCGGCGCCCCCUCCCUCGGCCCCGGGGAGGCCGGGCGCGGGGCAUGCUGGGAGCUGUAGUCCCCUCCCCCUCCCCGCCGCCUCCCGGAGCCAGGGCUGCGGGGUGUGGGGCGGGGAGGAGGCGCUCUGCUGUGGAGCCUGCCGCCGAGUGACCGCUCGACUACAAAUAGCCUGGGGAGCUGGGGGGAGGGCAUCUUGACCUGGGCCAGGACAACCUGCCAUGGGUCGGAGCAGGUUCCGGGGAGAGUCAGAUGGUGAUUUCUCAGCCUGCGUCUUAUGCCUUCUCCACAUCCGCUGCUCCUCCUCAUCCUGGCUUCCCACCGCUGAGCUCCGGGUGUGCGGCACCCGCCUCAGGGGGCCUUUACCUGGUCCAGAAGUGCAUCUGUCUUGGCACCAGAUUAUUGGGGACCUCAAGCGUCUGCUCCAGCGGCUGUCCCGUGGCAUGCGGCUUCCCCUUCUCGCUCCAGCGUCCUGCUGUUUUCUACGAGAUUGUUAUUCCAGGUCAUCAAGAGAGAGGGCACAGGUACAGAGAUGCCCAUGAUUGGGGACCGAGUCUUUGUCCACUA
rnacentral:sRNA from 1 species